rnacentral:lncRNA from 1 species
AUGGAGGUUGAGAAUAAAGAAGGAACCGAGAGCCCUCUGCCCAACGGCAGCACCCAUCCACCCAAACGUGGACGAGGCAGACCACGGGGGUCGCUCAAUAAGAAGUUCACUACCGAGAAAGCGCCGACACACAAUGCCAGGCCAUCUAAAAAGGUGGACUUCUUUUCUCCCGACAUAGUCAUAAAGACCAAGGUGAGGAAACGUGGUCGACCAAAGAAGAUAAAAAUGCCCGGCAGGCCGAGAAAGAUCCCGCUCACACCUGAGGAAGAAUCAGAGAGACUUCACAGGUUGAGUUUACAGCGCAAGCGGAGACUGUCAAAGCCGCUCGGAAGACCACGCAUUCAUCCCAUCGCCGAAGAUACCAAGGUAAAAAGAGGUAGAGGAAGACCACGCAAGUACGGUGCCAAAUCCGGUUCGCAAAGUGGCAGAGCCAAACAAGCUGGCGUCGAAAACAGCCUUGAUGCCGCCAACGGUUCUCCACGAAAAAGAGGGAGGCCAGCGGGCUCGUUGAAGAGAAAGAGGGGUCGUCCUGCAGGUUCUACCAAGGUUGCCAAGAUCGCCAGGGCCUCAGAUGGAACCCCAAAAAGGAGAGGCCGCCCUCCAGGCUCUCCCAACAAGGUGAAGAAGAUUCAGCAGGCUGACGGAUCUCCUCGCAAGAGGGGCCGUCCCCCAGGCUCUGGCACCAAAUUGAAGGUCAUUCAACGAAACACCGACGGAACUCCUCGCAAGAGAGGCCGGCCUCCAGGUUCUGGCAAAAAGGUCAAGAUUGUCGAACAUAAAGUCGGAGACACUCCCCGCAAGAGAGGCCGACCUCCAGGUACCGGAAAAGUCAAGGCACGUGCCGCAGAAGGUGGAGAGACGGGAGGUGAGAACGCCGAUGGCGCUGCUCCACGUCGUAAGAGAGGACGUCCAAGCAAAGUCAGACUCGCAGUCGUGCUCGAAAAACUCCCCAUGGCAUCAGCGGAGGAAGACGAAGAGGAGACCGAUGCACCCUCUCCCAAACAAUCCCGCACCUCUGAUGAUUCGUCGCAAAAUCCAAACGAUGAUGAUGAAGACACCAGGGUGAGCGAGAACGACGCAGACCCAGAAGACGAAGAAGAUGACGACGAUGACGCCAUUGAUUGUUCAAAAGUGAACAACACAAGCGAGAACGAGAUGGUGGGCAAAUUCAAAAAAAAGAAAUGA